CGCUCUUGUUUUUUUAAUCGAACACAUUUAUAUUCUUGUUUUCUUCAAUCCUAUUUCUUUCUUCUUCAGCCAAGAACCUGUUAGUUGCAACUAUGAUUCGCCUCUGAUCGAACUUUCUGCGAAGACCAAAACUGUGUAGUGGUGUUACCUCUUUUCGAUGGCUCAGAUUCCGAACCUAGAUAAUGCUCCCGUCAAUCUCACAUCCAUUAGGGAACAGUCCCAAAAAGAACUCCUCAACAUCCUCAAGAAUGUUCGAGGAAAGAAGUGUUUGGUCAUUGAUCCGAAGCUCGGAGACUCUCUCUCACUUAUUAUACAGACAUCCAUUCUCAAGGAGCAUGGAGUUGAAUUGCGACAUCUUUCUAGUGAUCCAAUUCAGACUGAUUGCAGCAAAGUAGUUUACCUUGUGCAUGCUCAGCCCAAGUUGAUGAAAUUCAUAUGUUCUAAUAUUCAUAAUGAUCUAUCAAAAGGACUGCAAAGAGAAUAUCAUGUUUAUUUUGUCCCCCGCCGCACUGUUGUUUGUGAGAAGGUUCUUGAGGAAGAGAAAUUACAUCAUAUGGUUUCAAUUGGGGAAUAUCCCUUGUAUAUUGUACCGAUGGAUGAAGAUGUGUUAUCAUUUGAACUUGAUCUUUCUUACAAAGAAUGCCAAGUUGAUGGUGAUACAGGAUCGCUUUGGCACAUUGCUAAAGCUAUUCACAAACUUGAGUUUUCUUUUGGAGUGAUACCAAAUGUGAGGGCAAAAGGAAAAGCAUCUGUGUGUGUUGCAGACAUCCUAAACCGAAUGCAAGCUGAGGAACCAGUUAACUCAUCUGAUAUUGUUGUGCCAGAGAUAAAUACACUAAUCCUUCUAGAUAGAGAGGUGGACAUGGUUACCCCUUUGUGUUCCCAAUUAACAUACGAGGGACUGCUUGAUGAGUUUCUGCACAUCAACAAUGGCUCUGUAGAGCUUGAUGCAUCUAUUAUGGGUCUUCAACAAGAAGGAAAAAAAACCAAAGUUCCCCUGAAUUCAAGUGACAAGCUUUUUAAGGAGAUUCGGGAUCUAAACUUUGAAGUUGUUGUCCAGAUUUUGCGUCAAAAAGCUACUUCCAUGAAGCAAGACUACACAGAAAUGACAACUACUACACAAACAGUUUCUGAGUUGAAGGACUUCGUGAAAAAGCUGAACUCAUUGCCGGAGAUGACUAGGCACAUAAAUCUUGCCCAGCAUCUAUCAACGUUCACGUCAAAGCCUUCAUUUCUUGGGCAACUUGAUAUGGAACAUACAAUCGUGGAGUCCCAGAGUUAUGACAUAUGCUUUGAUUAUAUUGAAGAACUGAUCCAUAAGCAGGAGCCUUUGACAACAGUCUUACGCCUUCUAAUACUAUUUUCUAUUACUAAUUCUGGGUUGCCAAAGAAGCACUUUGACUACUUCAGGAGAGAACUACUUCAUAGCUAUGGAUUUGAGCACGUAGCAAUGCUAAACAAUUUAGAGAAAGCUGGACUAUUUAAAAAGCAGGAGUCAAAAAGCAAUUGGGUCACUAUAAAACGUGCUUUGCAGCUUGUGGUUGAAGACACCGAUACAGCCAAGACAGCCCCAAUGAUAUUGCUUACGUCUUCUCUGGAUAUGCACCUCUCAGCAUUCGACUGGUCCAGCAUGCCAUUCGUUCUGGAUGGCGUCCUGUUGAAGAAAUUUUGAAGCUACUACCUGGACCACAUUUAGAAACAAAGAGGGGCGGAUUUUCAAAUAGUCCAUCAUUUGACACUUUAUCAGGGGUUUCAACCACCAGCUUGGCCAAGGUACCAGAUGGAAGGCGUGCCCUGGUGCUUGUUGUCUUUGUUGGGGGUGUUACCUUUGCAGAGAUUUCCGCACUCCGCUUUUUCAGCACUCAGGAGGGCAUGGCAUAUGAUUUGAUUAUUGCAACAACAAAAAUAGUCAAUGGCCAAAGCUUGAUUGAACCGUUUAUGGAAAAGCUAGGUUGAUUAAUGAGUGUAGUUUUGUCAGUUUAUCAUGCCGAUUAUAUUUGUUUGCGAUGUUGAGUUUAUAUCGAGGAUGUCACACCCAUUCUAUGACUAGGCUAGUUCGUUUUUGGACGAUGCCUUUGCUAUGUAAUCCUCUGUGUUGGUUUUCUAAGAGGGACUGUCUGGAAUUAAUAGUAUGAGCUUUAUUUUUCUCUGCUCUUUUUCAUUGUAUGCAACAGAUUCACCUACUUGUAUUAGCAAUGUGUUAUUCUUGAUUUUAGUUGAAUAUAUUAACUCACAGGGGAGUUCAUGAAUUAUAAUAGCCAGGAUUAUAUGGAUUUUAA